AGAAUCAACGCUGGCGGCGUGCCUAACACAUGCAAGUCGAACGAGAAAGUGGGAGCAAUCCCAUGAGUAAAGUGGCGCACGGGUGAGUAACACGUGACUAACCUACCCUUGAGUGGGGGAUAACCUAGGGAACCUGGGCUAAUACCGCAUAAUACCUACGGGUCAAAGGAGCAAUUCGCUUUAGGAGGGGGUCGCGGCAGAUUAGUUAGUUGGCGGGGUAAUGGCCCACCAAGACAGUGAUCUGUA
rnacentral:rRNA from 1 species